rnacentral:misc_RNA from 1 species
AACACUGUUAACCUGCGGUACCUGCGGAAGGAUCAUCAAAGGAAAAAAACACAUCCAAAAAAGCUUCUCCCCCAAUAAGAAAAAUCUUCUUGGAGGGGGGUGAGAGCCUUUUUCAAACAAACGAUCACAACUAAAGAAAAAGAGGGAAAUUGGAUUGGAUUGGAUUGAUGGAAAAAAAAGUGGUUGCCUGAUAAUUUGGUGAUUGGAAAAUAAAAAAAGCUAUACAACUUUUAACAAUGG